UCUUCCUUUGAACUACCAGGGAGGGUGAGCUGCCCGUCCCUGAGGAAAACAGGGUCAAAUUAGCCUCCCACUAAGCUUCAAGAAAGGCUGCCUGCCGAAACAGAGGCUCACUGCAUAGAUCAUAGGGGGUCACCUUUACCCCCUCGCGCCCUCCAAGCGUCCUAAGCCCCGCAGACACGGCAUUUCGGAGCGCGGGGCCAACAAGCUGCGUCUACAGAUAGACAUCGACAAUCAGGAUCGCCCAGCGAGCGCUUCCUGGACUGAGCCAGCCGAGAGCUCCAGUGAUUUCCCUGGCCUGCCACCGAGCCAUUUAAGAAGUGAAAUAUGCCAACGGGGCCAGGAACCGACACCUCUGGGAUGGAGAGGGGACUGCCAAUGAAUGGGCAACGUCUAUGCAAAUGGUGCAUUCGCAGUUUACUUCAAAUGCCGAACAACCAUGGAAUGGUCAAUGUUGAGUUCUUCGACAACUUUUCCUGUAGUUGCAAGAGGAUCAGCUUGGAUGAUCAGCUCAAUUAAUUGGUCAUUGUCAACUUCUCAUGGCUGACCACUGCACUCCUCAUCUUCAAGGCUCUUGUCUCCUUGGCAAGACUUCUAGAACCACUGUUUGUUAGCAGUUGCUGGGCCAAAUGCGUUGUUGAUGUUGCAAGUUGUAUCUGCUGCUUUAUGACCUAUUUCGAAAUUGAAUAAAAAGAUCACUCAAAUUCGCUUUUUG